rnacentral:rRNA from 1 species
CUAUGCGCCUUGCCAGCCCGCUCAGGUGUGCCAGCCGCCGCGGUAAUACGUAGGUGGCGAGCGUUAUCCGGAAUGAUUGGGCGUAAAGAGAACGCAGGCGGUCUUUUAAGUCUGAUGUGAAAGCCUUCGGCUUAACCGGAGUAGUGCAUCGGAAACCGGGCGACUUGAGUGCAGAAGAGGACAGUGGAACUCCAUGUGUAGCGGUGGAAUGCGUAGAUAUAUGGAAGAACACCAGUGGCGAAGGCGGCUGUCUGGUCUGCAACUGACGCUGAGGCUCGAAAGCAUGGGUAGCGAACAGG